UGGGGAAUCUUGGACAAUGGGGGCAACCCUGAUCCAGCCAUGCCGCGUGGGUGAAGAAGGCCUUAGGGUUGUAAAGCCCUUUCAGUCGUGACGAUGAUGACGGUAGCGACAGAAGAAGCCCCGGCUAACUCCGUGCCAGCAGCCGCGGUAAUACGGAGGGGGCAAGCGUUGUUCGGAUUUACUGGGCGUAAAGGGCGCGUAGGCGGACGGUCAAGUUAGAGGUGAAAGGCCCGGGCUCAACCUGGGACGUGCCUUCGAGACAGGGCAGCUCGAGACCGGAAGAGGAGGGUGGAAUACCCAGUGUAGAGGUGAAAUUCGGAGAGAUUGGGUGGAACACCAGUGGCGAAAGCGGCUCUCUGGUCCGGAUCUGACGCUGAGGCGCGAAAGCGUGGGGAGCAAACAGGAUUAGAUACCCGUGUAGUCC
rnacentral:rRNA from 1 species